rnacentral:rRNA from 1 species
AGUGAACGCUGGCGGUAGGCCUAACACAUGCCAGUCGAACGGCAGCACAGCAAGAGCUUGCUCUUACGGGUGGCGAGUGGCGGACGGGUGAGGAAUACAUCGGAAUCUACUUUUUCGUGGGGGAUAACGUAGGGAAACUUACGCUAAUACCGCAUACGACCUACGGGUGAAAGCAGGGGAUCUUCGGACCUUGCGCGAUUGAAUGAGCCGAUGUCGGGUUAGCUAGUUGGCGGGGUAAAGGCCCACCAAGGCGACGAUCCGUAGCUGGUCUGAGAGGAUGAUCAGCCACACUGGAACUGAGACACGGUCCAGACUCCUACGGGAGGCAGCAGUGGGGAAUAUUGGACAAUGGGCGCAAGCCUGAUCCAGCCAUACCGCGUGGGUGAAGAAGGCCUUCGGGUUGUAAAGCCCUUUUGUUGGGAAAGAAAAGCAGCAGGUUAAUACCCCGCUGUUCUGACGGUACCCAAAGAAUAAGCACCGGCUAACUUCGUG